UUUCCAGCAUGGGUUUAGCAUGGCUGUUUAAGCUGCAGGGAUGUGGAGCUCGUCUGGCAUGGUGGUAGCUGGUCCAGAGACACCUUAGUCUGCUGAAAAAUGGGGGAAAUAUUAUCAUGUUCUGCAUCUUUAUCAAUUUAAGUGUGCCCAUGCCAGAGCACUUAGGUCUUUUAGUUUGUGGGCCCAAUGUACAGCACAGUAAUUUUUUUUUUUUUUUUUUUUUUGUCCCCUGGUGUCCAUUAGAAGUGCUUCACUGUAGCAACUGAUGUGUUGUUUCUGUAAACAGCCAACAGACUGCUGCUGUAUGCAGGGGCUGGACCUCCCAGUUGAAAGCUGCUUUGGCUGACCUAUUCUUGGGGCAGGAGAAUUGAGCUGAUUAACAAACCAGCAAAGCUGGAAAGGGAAGUGGAGGGAGGAAAACAGGUGUCACUGCUGGGAUGCUUGGGUAUCCCUGCAGUGAGGUGUGAAGGCAUGGAGAAACACUGAGGGCAAGGCACCUAGGUGGUGUUCAGUGCUGCAGAGGAAGUUCUGAAAUCAGGAAUCCAGACUCUCUGGUUUCUCCUGUCCCUUUGAUGCUGAAAUUUUUCACUUGGAGACAUCACCAGCCUGACCUUAAAAAUUGCUGCCACUGCGGACUGAGGUCUGGUCUGGGAGAUGGAAGACAAGCUUUAGUGUGGCCAGACUUGCACUGGC